rnacentral:rRNA from 1 species
CAGCAGCCGCGGUAAUACGAAGGGUGCAAGCGUUAAUCGGAAUUACUGGGCGUAAAGCGUGCGUAGGCGGUUUGUUAAGUCUGCUGUGAAAUCCCCGGGCUCAACCUGGGAAUGGCAGUGGAUACUGGCAAGCUAGAGUGUGUCAGAGGAUGGUGGAAUUCCCGGUUUAGCGGUGGAAUGCGUAGAGAUCGGGAGGAACAUCAGUGGCGAAGGCGGCCAACUGGGACAACACUGACGCUGAGGCACGAAAGCGUGGGGAGCAAACAGGAUUAGAUACCCGUGUAGUCCCUGUCUCUUAUAC